UAACUGAGCUAGCGGCGGACGGGUGAGUAAUGCUUAGGAAUCUGCCUAUUAGUGGGGGACAACAUUCCGAAAGGAAUGCUAAUACCGCAUACGCCCUACGGGGGAAAGCAGGGGAUCUUCGGACCUCGCGCUAAUAGAUGAGCCUAAGUCAGAUUAGCUAGUUGGUGGGGUAAAGGCCUACCAAGGCGACGAUCUGUAGCGGGUCUGAGAGGAUGAUCCGCCACACUGGGACUGAGACACGGCCCAGACUCCUACGGGAGGCAGCAGUGGGGAAUAUUGGACAAUGGGCGCAAGCCUGAUCCAGCCAUGCCGCGUGUGUGAAGAAGGCCUUUUGGUUGUAAAGCACUUUAAGCGAGGAGGAGGCUACUUGGAUUAAUACUCUAGGAUAGUGGACGUUACUCGCAGAAUAAGCACCGGCUAACUCUGUGCCAGCAGCCGCGGUAAUACAGAGGGUGCGAGCGUUAAUCGGAUUUACUGGGCGUAAAGCGUGCGUAGGCGGCUUCUUAAGUCGGAUGUGAAAUCCCUGAGCUUAACCUAGGAAUUGCAUUCGAUACUGGGAAGCUAGAGUAUGGGAGAGGAUGGUAGAAUUCCAGGUGUAGCGGUGAAAUGCGUAGAGAUCUGGAGGAUACCGAUGGCGAAGGCAGCCAUCUGG
rnacentral:rRNA from 1 species